GGAGACAAACACCUCCUGCCCACUGCUGGGGCUGGAGCCUCAGGAGGGCCCCUGCUGCAUUGAGGACCUGCCUGAGCUGCCAGAGCCACCAGAUGACGGGCACCGAAGAGCUCCCAGGACUGCCAGUAGCAGAGUACCCCAUGGAGAUGGAAGAUGACUCCGAGCCACAGACCCAAAUACAGGAGGGGCAGCAGGAAUCCAACUUUGCCCAGCAGCGAAGCUUGCAUACAUCACACAGAGAGAGAGCUGUUCCAGAAGGGCAUAGAGUUUACUGCUAUAUGGGAACAGCAGAAAACACUCUUUAGAGGAUUUGCGCUGUGAUUUUUGACUGGGGCUGGAGCCAUGCCUGCAAAAGCUUGGGAAUUUCAGUCCAGUCUGAGGAAAAAUCCCCUAUGAUUGUCUGCCUUGUCCACUUUUCAGCCUCUGGGGAAGAGCCUCCAAUCAGAACAAUUACAAGAAGCAUCCAAGAACUUUUUGAGGAGUGGAGAGGGAGCUGGCAACACCACUCUUAUAGGAGGGAGUAGGGAGCAGACAGACCCCAGCAACUCAGGGAGGCCUGGCUCUCUGGGCCUCCUUCCAUGCUGUGAACAAUAGAUCAGUCUGUUCUCUGUUAUACCCCCUCCUCUUUUCAUCCCUGUCACACCAAGCUUGAGAAGGGGAUGAAGAGCCUCUGAAGCCCCUUGUGGGUGGACAGGCUGUGUUCAAAAAUCAAAAGGCAGUCAAAAACCACAGCAUAACCUUUUUCUAAAUGUCCUUAUUUUGGGGAUGAUCUCGUGAUUUUUUUGGUGUCUGACCCAUGAUUUUUGAACUUGUGGGAGAGGCAUUACUGCAUACAGGGCAUUUGGAACUGAAAGUGACAACACAAACUUUACUACAAAAGGUAACAUAGUCUUAGGGUUAGAGCCUCGCUCCCACUCCAGCCCCUUUACACUGGGAAAAAGGGCCAGGGUGGCAUAAAGGGCUCUAAAAGCCUUGAAUCCAGUGGAGGGAGGAUUGCCCAAGUACUGGAACUGUGGAAGGCAGCUAAAAGGCUGACUUCUGACAACUCAGCAGCUGGGCUGGAGCAGGAGGGAGCACUAAGGAGAUUGUAGGAAGGACUUCUACCCAUGUGUCAUGGAGUCAUGGGGUAUGGUUGAUGCCCCAGCCUGUAACCAGUAGUUUGCCAGGAGUGGACCUGAGGACCCACACAGUUCCAGAAGGGCAGGCCUGUGGCCUCCAUGACUCCUGAGACUGGUCCUUUAGCACCAGUGAUCCCUGUGUCUUUCUGUGGCUCCCUGCAGCAAAUCCAGCCAAGCCAGAGUCCUGCAAGAGCUUGCACUGUGUCCCUUCAGGGUGCAAUGCUCUCAGUGAGAAGCCUUGAUGAUAUAAUAUAAGUGAUAGAAAUGAAGUUACAAAAGAAUACAAACGUCAGACAAAUAGGAUUAUUCUGCUCAGUUUUUACUAUACAACUGAUUUCACAAUGACUAGAAAACAGUAAAGGCUAAAUUCUGUGCUGGUGACC